CCGGGUGAGUAACACGUGACUAACCUACCUCCGAGUGGGGAAUAACUCCGGGAAACCGGGGCUAAUACCGCAUAACAUCGCAAGAUCAAAGCAGCAAUGCGCUUGGAGAGGGGGUCGCGGCUGAUUAGCUCGUUGGCGGGGUAACGGCCCACCAAGGCGAAGAUCGGUAUCCGGCCUGAGAGGGCGCACGGACACACUGGAACUGAAACACGGUCCAGACUCCUACGGGAGGCAGCAGUGGGGAAUUUUGCGCAAUGGGGGAAACCCUGACGCAGCAACGCCGCGUGGAGGAUGAAGCCCUUUGGGGCGUAAACUCCUUUCGACUCGGACGAUAAUGACGGUACGAGUGGAAGAAGCACCGGCUAACUCUGUGCCAGCAGCCGCGG
rnacentral:rRNA from 1 species